rnacentral:sRNA from 1 species
CAGAACUAGAAAUUUAUAUUAUAGUAUAUUCACAUUCAUAAAGAAUUAUUACUGUAUUGGAAAACAUAUGCUUAAAUGGAGCACAGAUAUGGAGGAGAUGGAAUAGAGACGUGAAAGAGAGUCCUGAAAUAGUGACACAGUAAAGAGAUUUGGGUUAAAGGUGUGGAACACAGAUAUGGAACAGAGACAGGGACCAAGAACUCGGAAGCGAGGCGUGAUAUAGACACAUGGAACAGAGAUGGCUAUCAGAUACCAGUUAAGCAGACGUCAUUGAAUCACAUAAGAUUCAACGAAAUUUAAAUUCUCACCUUGCUGAAGUAGCCCACAAUGUGACAUCCAUCGACA